rnacentral:tRNA from 1 species
GCGCCUGUAGCUCAAUUGGAUAGAGCGUCUGACUACGGAUCAGAAGGUUAGGGGUUCAAGUCCUCUCAGGCGCG